rnacentral:rRNA from 1 species
GGUUAAGCGACUAAGCGUACACGGUGGAUGCCCCGGCAGUCAGAGGCGAUGAAGGACGUGCUAAUCUGCGAAAAGCGUCGGUAAGGUGAUAUGAACCGUUAUAACCGGCGAUGUCCGAAUGGGGAAACCCAGUGCAAUUCGUUGCACUAUCGUUAACUGAAUACAUAGGUUAACGAGGCGAACCGGGGGAACUGAAACAUCUAAGUACCCCGAGGAAAAGAAAUCAACCGAGAUUCCCCCAGUAGCGGCGAGCGAACGGGGAGCAGCCCAGAGUCUGAAUCAGCUUGUGUGUUAGUGGAACGGUCUGGAAAGUCCGACGGUACAGGGUGAUAGUCCCGUACACCAAAAUGCACAGGUUGUGAACUCGAAGAGUAGGGCGGGACACGUGGUAUCCUGUCUGAAUAUGGGGGACCAUCCUCCAAGGCUAAAUACUCCUGACUGACCGAUAGUGAACCAGUACCGUGAGGGAAAGGCGAAAAGAACCCCGGCGAGGGGAGUGAAAAAGAACCUGAAACCGUGUACGUACAAGCAGUGGGAGCACCUUCGGGUGUGACUGCGUACCUUUGUAUAAUGGGUCAGCGACUUAUAUUCUGUAGCAAGGUUAACCGUAUAGGGGAGCCGCAGGGAAACCGAGUCUUAACUGGGCGUUAAGUUGCAGGGUAUAGACCCGAAACCCGGUGAUCUAGCCAUGGGCAGGUUGAAGGUUGGGUAACACUAACUGGAGGACCGAACCGACUAAUGUUGAAAAAUUAGCGGAUGACUUGUGGCUGGGGGUGAAAGGCCAAUCAAACCGGGAGAUAGCUGGUUCUCCCCGAAAGCUAUUUAGGUAGCGCCUCGUGAACUCAUCUUCGGGGGUAGAGCACUGUUUCGGCUAGGGGGUCAUCCCGACUUACCAACCCGAUGCAAACUACGAAUACCGAAGAAUGUUAUCACGGGAGACACACGGCGGGUGCUAACGUCCGUCGUGAAGAGGGAAACAACCCAGACCGCCAGCUAAGGUCCCAAAGUCAUGGUUAAGUGGGAAACGAUGUGGGAAGGCACAGACAGCCGGGAUGUUGGCUUAGAAGCAGCCAUCAUUUAAAGAAAGCGUAAUAGCUCACUGGUCGAGUCGGCCUGCGCGGAAGAUGUAACGGGGCUAAACCAUGCACCGAAGCUGCGGCAGCGACACUAUGUGUUGUUGGGUAGGGGAGCGUUCUGUAAGCCUGCGAAGGUGUGCUGUGAGGCAUGCUGGAGGUAUCAGAAGUGCGAAUGCUGACAUAAGUAACGAUAAAGCGGGUGAAAAGCCCGCUCGCCGGAAGACCAAGGGUUCCUGUCCAACGUUAAUCGGGGCAGGGUGAGUCGACCCCUAAGGCGAGGCCGAAAGGCGUAGUCGAUGGGAAACAGGUUAAUAUUCCUGUACUUGGUGUUACUGCGAAGGGGGGGACGGAGAAGGCUAUGUUAGCCGGGCGACGGUUGUCCCGGUUUAAGCAUGUAGGCUGAUUGUCCGAGGCAAAUCCGGAUAAUCAAGGCUGAGGUGUGAUGACGAGGCACUACGGUGCUGAAGUAACAAAUGCCCUGCUUCCGAGGAAAAGCCUCUAAGCAUCAGGUAACAUUAAAUCGUACCCCAAACCGACACAGGUGGUCAGGUAGAGAAUACCAAGGCGCUUGAGAGAACUCGGGUGAAGGAACUAGGCAAAAUGGUGCCGUAACUUCGGGAGAAGGCACGCUGGUGUGUAGGUGAAGUCCCUGCGGAUGGAGCUGAGACCAGUCGAAGAUACCAGCUGGCUGCAACUGUUUAUUAAAAACACAGCACUGUGCAAACACGAAAGUGGACGUAUACGGUGUGACGCCUGCCCGGUGCCGGAAGGUUAAUUGAUGGGGUUAUCCGUAAGGAGAAGCUCUUGAUCGAAGCCCCGGUAAACGGCGGCCGUAACUAUAACGGUCCUAAGGUAGCGAAAUUCCUUGUCGGGUAAGUUCCGACCUGCACGAAUGGCGUAAUGAUGGCCGGGGCUGUCUCCACCCGAGACUCAGUGAAAUUGAACUCGCUGUGAAGAUGCAGUGUACCCGCGGCAAGACGGAAAGACCCCGUGAACCUUUACUAUAGCUUGACACUGAACAUUGAGCCUUGAUGUGUAGGAUAGGUGGGAGGCUUUGAAGCGUGGACGCCAGUCUGCGUGGAGCCAACCUUGAAAUACCACCCUUUAAUGUUUGAUGUUCUAACGUUGGCCCCUGACCGGGGUUGCGGACAGUGUCUGGUGGGUAGUUUGACUGGGGCGGUCUCCUCCCAAAGCGUAACGGAGGAGCACGAAGGUUAGCUAAUCCCCGGUCGGACAUCAGGAGGUUAGUGCAAUGGCAUAAGCUAGCUUGACUGCGAGCGUGACGGCGCGAGCAGGUGCGAAAAGCAGGUCAUAGUGAUCCGGUGGUUCUGAAUGGAAGGGCCAUCGCUCAACGGAUAAAAGGUACUCCGGGGAUAACAGGCUGAUACCGCCCAAGAGUUCAUAUCGACGGCGGUGUUUGGCACCUCGAUGUCGGCUCAUCACAUCCCCGGGGCUGAAGUAGGUCCCAAGGGUAUGGCUGUUCGCCAUUUAAAGUGGUACGCGAGCUGGGUUUAGAACGUCGUGAGACAGUUCGGUCCCUAUCUGCCGUGGGCGCUGGAGAAUUGAGGGGGCUGCUCCUAGUACGAGAGGACCGGAGUGGACGCAUCACUGGUGUUCGGGUUGUCAUGCCAAUGGCACUGCCCGGUAGCUAAAUGCGGAAGAGAUAAGUGCUGAAAGCAUCUAAGCACGAAACUUGCCCCGAGAUGAGUUCUCCCUGAGACUUUAAGUCUCCUGAAGGAACGUUGAAGACGACGACGUUGAUAGGCCGGGUGUGUAAGCGCAGCGAUGCGUUGAGCUAACCGGUACUAAUGAACCGUGAGGCUUAACCUU